AUACGUAGGUGGCGAGCAUUGUCCGGAAUUACUGGGCGUAAAGGGUGCGUAGGCGGACCAUCAAGUCAGAUGUGAAAGUCCAUGGCUUAACUGUGGGAGUGCAUUUGAGACUGAUGAUCUAGAGUGCAGGAGAGGGAAGCGGAAUUCCUAGUGUAGCGGUGAAAUGCGUAGAUAUUAGGAAGAACACCAGUGGCGAAGGCGGCUUUCUGGACUGUAACUGACGCUGAAGCACGAAAGCGUGGGGAGCAAACAGGAUUAGAUACCCUGGUAGUCCACGCUGUAAACGAUGAGUAUUAGGUGUAGGGGACGAUAGUCUUCUGUGCCGGAGCAAACGCAAUAAAUACUCCGCCUGGGGAGUACGGUCACAAGACUAAA
rnacentral:rRNA from 1 species